rnacentral:rRNA from 1 species
UACGGAGGAUGCAAGCGUUAUCCGGAAUUAUUGGGCGUAAAGCGUCCGCAGGUGGUUUAUCAAGUCUGCUGUCAAAGCGCGAGGCUUAACCUCGUACAGGCAGUGGAAACUGGAUGACUAGAGUAUGGUAGGGGUAGCGGGAAUUCCCAGUGUAGCGGUGAAAUGCGUAGAUAUUGGGAAGAACACCAGCGGCGAAAGCGCGCUACUGGGCCAUUACUGACACUCAUGGACGAAAGCUAGGGGAGCGAAAGGG